rnacentral:rRNA from 1 species
UUGAACGCUGGCGGCAUGCCUUACACAUGCAAGUCGAACGGCAGCGGGGACUUCGGUCCGCCGGCGAGUGGCGAACGGGUGAGUAAUGUAUCGGAACGUACCUUUCAGUGGGGGAUAACGUAGCGAAAGUUACGCUAAUACCGCAUAUUCUGUGAGCAGGAAAGCAGGGGAUCGCAAGACCUUGCGCUGAUUGAGCGGCCGAUAUCAGAUUAGCUAGUUGGUGAGGUAAAGGCUCACCAAGGCGACGAUCUGUAGCGGGUCUGAGAGGAUGAUCCGCCACACUGGAACUGAGACACGGUCCAGACUCCUACGGGAGGCAGCAGUGGGGAAUUUUGGACAAUGGGGGCAACCCUGAUCCAGCCAUGCCGCGUGAGUGAAGAAGGCCUUCGGGUUGUAAAGCUCUUUCGGCCGGGAAGAAAUCGUAUGGGCUAAUACCCUGUGCGGAUGACGGGUACCGGCAUAAGAAGCACCGGCUAACUACGUG